rnacentral:rRNA from 1 species
UACGAAGGGGGGCUAGCGUUGUUCGGAAUUACUGGGCGUAAAGCGCGUGUAGGCGGGUCUUUUAAGUCAGGGGUGAAAUGCCAAGGCUCAACCUUGGAACUGCCUUUGAUACUGGAGACCUUGAGUCCGGGAGAGGUGAGUGGAAUUGCGAGUGUAGAGGUGAAAUUCGUAGAUAUUCGCAAGACACCAGUGGCGAAGGCGGCUCACUGGCCCGGAACUGGACGCUGAGACGCGAAAGCGUGGGGAGCAAACAGG